GAUGAACGCUGGCGGCGUGCCUAAUACAUGCAAGUCGAGCGAACAGACGAGGAGCUUGCUCCUCUGACGUUAGCGGCGGACGGGUGAGUAAAACGUGGAUAACCUACCUAUAAGACUGGGAUAACUUCGGGAAACCGGAGCUAAUACCGGAUAAUAUAUUGAACCGCAUGGUUCAAUAGUGAAAGGCGGUUUUGCUGUCACUUAUAGAUGGAUCCGCGCCGCAUUAGCUAGUUGGUAAGGUAACGGCUUACCAAGGCAACGAUGCGUAGCCGACCUGAGAGGGUGAUCGGCCACACUGGAACUGAGACACGGUCCAGACUCCUACGGGAGGCAGCAGUAGGGAAUCUUCCGCAAUGGGCGAAAGCCUGACGGAGCAACGCCGCGUGAGUGAUGAAGGUCUUCGGAUCGUAAAACUCCGUUAUUAGGGAAGAACAAAUGUGUAAGUAACUAUGCACGUCUUGACGGUACCUAAUCAGAAAGCCACGGCUAACUACGUG
rnacentral:rRNA from 1 species